GUGUCAGCCGCCGCGGUAAUACGUAUGGGGCAAGCGUUAUCCGGAUUCAUUGGGCGUAAAGCGCGCGUAGGCGGAUUGUUAAGCGCGAUGUGAAAACUGGGGGCUCAACCCGCAGCCUGCAUCGCGAACUGGCAGUCUUGAGUCUGGUAGAGGAGUGUGGAAUUCCCAGUGUAGCGGUGAAAUGCGCAGAUAUUGGGAGGAACACCAGUGGCGAAGGCGGCACUCUGGGCCACGACUGACGCUGAGGCGCGAAAGCUAGGGGAGCGAACAGGAUUAGAUACCCUGGUAGUCCUAGCCGUAAACGAUGGGCACUAGGUGUGGGGGGUACAACUCCCUCCGUGCCGCAGCUAACGCAUUAAGUGCCCCGCCUGGGGAGUACGGCCGCAAGGCUAAA
rnacentral:rRNA from 1 species